rfam:Bathycoccus prasinos genomic : Chromosome_16.
GCCCACAUAGCUCAGUCGGUAGAGCGUUCGCCUCUUAAGCGAAUGGCCGCGGGUUCGAUCCCCGUUGUGGGUA